rnacentral:rRNA from 1 species
AAGGGCACCACAAGAACGCGUGGAGCAUGUGGCUUAAUUUGACUCAACGCGGGAAAUCUUACCGGGUCCGGACACACUGAGGAUUGACAGACAAACACAUUUAUGUGUUAUAAAGAUGCUAGUUCUUUCAUGAUUAUGUGAUAGGUGGUGCAUGGCCGUUCUUAGUUCGUGGAGUGAUCUGUCUGCUUAAUUGCGUUUCAAUAUUUUAUUACGUAUACGUAUGACCAACUACCUUUACCGGUAUGUUUGUGUCUAGUAUGCUAUCAUUUGAAAGCAACGAACGUGACCGUAUCCUUUUAUUAUGUACGCACGCGUAUAUUUAUUUCAUUAAAGGGACCGCUGUUUCUUUCUUUAAACCAGAGGAAGGUUACGGCAAUAACAGGUCUGUGAUGCCCUUCGAUGUUCCGGGCUGCACACGUGCUACAGUGAUUAUUUCAUUAAGUAUCUAAUCUUUAUGUAUCGUACCUCUGUGUAUGUUCAAAAUACCUACCCUGAGAAUGGGCGGGUAAUCAAUUAGAAGUAAUGAUUUCCUUUUUUUAAUACGCAACUAUGUGCCGUAUAUUACAUCCCACAUAUUUUCAAUAUAUGUGCGUGUGUGUUUUAUUACCGUGUACGCGUAACUGUUAAUUCAUGGUGGGGAUAGACCAUUGUUAAUUGUUGGUCUCGGUCUUAACUAGGAAUGCCUUGUACGGGUCAUUGGUUCAACAAACCACCCGGAAUACGUCCCUGCCCUUUGUACACACCGCCCGUCGCUCUUACCGAUGAACUUCGCUAUGAAUCUAUUGGACUGUGCUCUCUUAUGAGUGCGGAAAGAUAUAUGAAUAGUGUGGUUUAAAGGAAAGAGAAGUCGUAACAAGGCAUCAGUAGGUGAACCUGCUGAUGGAUCAUUA